rnacentral:rRNA from 1 species
UACGGGGGGGGCAAGCGUUGUUCGGAAUUACUGGGCGUAAAGGGUCUGUAGGUGGCUUGCUAAGUCAGACGUGAAAUCCCUCGGCUUAACCGGGGAACUGCGUCUGAUACUGGCGAGCUUGAGUGCAGGAGAGGAACGCGGAAUUCCAGGUGUAGCGGUGAAAUGCGUAGAUAUCUGGAGGAACACCGGUGGCGAAGGCGGCAUCCUGGACCGAAACUGACGCUGAGGAGCGAAAGCCAGGGGAGCAAACGGG